AGAACGAACGCUGGCGGCAUGCCUAAUACAUGCAAGUCGAACGAACUCUUCGGAGUUAGUGGCGCACGGGUGCGUAACGCGUGGGAAUCUGCCCCUUGGUUCGGAAUAACAGUUGGAAACGACUGCUAAUACCGGAUGAUGACGAAAGUCCAAAGAUUUAUCGCCAAGGGAUGAGCCCGCGUAGGGUAUAG
rnacentral:rRNA from 1 species